GUUCUGGUAUGAUUAAAGAGUCUAACUUCUGUUAUAAAAUACGCAAGCGAAAAAAAAACAUGUAGAAACAAAUUAAAAACCCAUCUCUCUAUAUUACAGAACUGCUUUAUAUUACAGGGUAUUUAGAGAUCUUGAAGUUGCUUACUGAAACUCGGCCAGCUGACUUUCUGCCAUACACUGCCUAGACCUAGUCAUUGAACUGUGCGUCUGCGAGCGCCAAAAGCGAUUAUCAGCCGUUUUUUAGCAGCGCCAAAAAAAUGGUUUUCGCUGACAGAUGGCUCCCGAGGUUGGGAAAGUAUCGCCACGGAUCGCUGAGGCAAACUGGUCGCCAGUAAAUCUGAUCAAACUGCGCAACUUAAUUAGUUCAUGUCAGACGCAUGGCUGCCCCUGCCCCUGCCAAUGGCCCUGUCCACCCGAUCCGCGACUCACGCUUGUGAGUUGAGCUUGGGCAACAACACUCGCCAUAAGGCAGGGGGGCUCGGUCUUAAACAUUUAUCACCUAAGCAACAUUUGAAAUUUAAAUGCGAUUGUUUCUGUUUUCAAUGU